rnacentral:rRNA from 1 species
CCUACGGGUGGCAGCAGUGAGGAAUAUUGGUCAAUGGACGAGAGUCUGAACCAGCCAAGUAGCGUGAAGGAUGACUGCCCUAUGGGUUGUAAACUUCUUUUAUAAAGGAAUAAAACGAGGCACGUGUGCCUUUUUGCAUGUACUUUAUGAAUAAGGAUCGGCUAACUCCGUGCCAGCAGCCGCGGUAAUACGGAGGAUCCGAGCGUUAUCCGGAUUUAUUGGGUUUAAAGGGAGCGUAGAUGGGUUGUUAAGUCAGUUGUGAAAGUUUGCGACUCAACCGUAAAAUUGCAAUUGAUACUGGCAGUCGUGAGUACAGUUGAGGUAGGCGGAAUUCGUGGUGUAGCGGUGAAAUGCUUAGAUAUCACGAAGAACCCCGAUUGCGAAGGCAGCUUACUAAACUGUGACUGACAUUGAUGCUCGAAAGUGUGGGUAUCAAACAGGAUUAGAUACCCUUGUAGUC